rnacentral:rRNA from 1 species
UACGUAGGGUGCAAGCGUUAAUCGGAAUUACUGGGCGUAAAGCGUGCGCAGGCGGUUUUGUAAGUCUGACGUGAAAUCCCCGGGCUUAACCUGGGAAUUGCGUUGGAGACUGCAAGGCUGGAGUCUGGCAGAGGGGGGUAGAAUUCCACGUGUAGCAGUGAAAUGCGUAGAUAUCCUGAGGAACACCGGUGGCGAAAGCGGCGCGCUGGAUCCCUUCUGACGCUGAGGCGCGAAAAGCCAGGGGGAGCAAACGGGAUUAGAAACCCC